UUUUUACUCCCUCCGUCCGGAAAUACUUGUCAUCAAAAUGAAUAUAAGGGGAUGUAUCUAGAUGUAUUUUAGUUCUAGAUACAUCUCUUUUUGUCCAUUUUGAUGACAAUUAUUUCUGGACGGAGGGUGUACUAU
rnacentral:pre_miRNA from 1 species